CCUGGGGCAAGCCUAGCUUCAUUUCCUUUUCUCCAAGCCCAGCCCGCGUGCUGUUCUUCUUCAUCCUCACGCCGGUCACGCCUCUGGAAAAAGAAGAGUACAGGUCAGAGAGAGGAUAGGAUGGCGAGCAGCAGAGAGCAGCAGAGGGCAGCGGGAUUCGCGUGUCGGGGCCAGGCCGAACAGCGAGCUGGUGAUGGCAGAAGCCAUGUGCACUGGCCGGGUGCCUUCAAAAGAGAGCGUGACCCCGAUAGAGAGGGGGAGGAGGAGAGGAGCGAGCGAUUGAGAGAGUGAGCGAGAGGGAGCUCGAGAGAGCUCGAGAGAGAGACAGAGUGCUCCGCCAUCGUAGGUGGCCCCUCCGUUAGCCACGGUCCGCCGCGGCACCCCCACCGAGCUAAACCAGGUAGGUUUUCUCGGGUCAUGCAUGCUCUUUUUUGUAGGGCGCCGGACCGCAGCUCGUGACCGGCCCGUUCGCACGAGCUUCGGUUCCUCCGGCCCCCGUAGGUCUUUAGUCAAGUCUCUGUUGUUUUUGGUCGUUUUUCGAGAAUCCUAGUACCAUUUCGAGUCCCGGUUGAGUUGGAAAUCUUAACAUUUUCGUAAAAGCUCGCGAACUGUUCGUAUAAAUGCCUGAGUGAAGCCCGCAUGACUAUCCUUGAACCUACGUCCAUUAUAGGCGGCCACCGUUGUUAGAUGUGUUUUGUCGCUGUUUUACACGCUUUUGUUUCGUCCAUUUCGAGUUUACAUUGUCGUGAUUUGGGCUUAUUAUUGCGCAAGUUGUGUCCCGUCUUCCUCCUUAUGAGUAUAGGUGAGAGAGUGGGUGUCGGCUCGGCCAUGGCCUAAGCGCGGGCGGUGUCGGUGCCAGCGACAAAGGGUGGUGAGGCUCGUUUAAAAUGGCGUUGGUUUGGUCGAUGAGUUUCGGUGGAAAAGAGUGUAGGAGAGAAGGUGGCUUCGGGCGUGCAGAGAACGCACGAAGAAGAAGACCAGAAGAAGGAAAGAAAAAAUUAAAAAAAAAUUAAAAAUUAGAGGCACAUAAGGGUGAUCAAUCUUGAUCUCUUAUUUAUUCCAGCAAUUGAAAUUUGCUCAUGCCCCUGUUGGUCAACUCAACAUUUGUUUAGGCAAUAUUAAGCUCUUUUAGUUAUCGUCUUAAAGUAACAGUGUUGUCCUAGAGGUUCUUUGGAUGCAAUGUAGCCUUAGGAUCUGGAACUAAGAGUUUAGCGAUGAGCACUUAGAAAGAGAACAUAUUUUAUGUGUAGACGAGUUUAAGAGCUUAAGUUGAUUUAGACAUGUUGUAAAGUAAAACUAACUAGUGGACAAAUGAAAGAUGUUUGUUUGAACUAUUAGUGAGCCAUUUUUUUUUUUUUUUGCUGUGGAUCUGCAUCUAAUGUGAAGUAAGUUUCUCAAUCUGAGUAUCUAUGUGCAGUUUGAGCUUGAUGAAGAGUUUGAAGAACUUUUUAACUUCAAUGAAGAUCUUUUGUGUUCAUGGAAGGGGAACUUUCAAGGUUUAGCAAGACAUCACCAAUUUGGAAGCU
rnacentral:lncRNA from 1 species